UACGGAAGGGGCGAGCGUUGUUCGGAAUUAUUGGGCGUAAAGAGCUCGUAGGUGGUUUGUCGCGUUGUUCGUGAAAUCCCCACGGCUUAACUGUGGGCGUGCGGGCGAUACGGGCAGACUGGAGUACUGCAGGGGAGACUGGAAUUCCUGGUGUAGCGGUGGAAUGCGCAGAUAUCAGGAAGAACACCCGUGGCGAAAGCGGCUCUCUGGGACGGUACUGACGCUGAGACGCGAAAGCGUGGGGAGCGAACAGG
rnacentral:rRNA from 1 species